GAUGAACGCUGGCGGCGUGCUUAACACAUGCAAGUCGAACGGAAAGGCCCAAGCUUGCUUGGGUACUCGAGUGGCGAACGGGUGAGUAACACGUGGGUGAUCUGCCCUGCACUUCGGGAUAAGCCUGGGAAACUGGGUCUAAUACCGGAUAGGACCACAUUUUGGAUGGUGUGGUGGAAAGUUUUUCGGUGUGGGAUGAGCUCGCGGCCUAUCAGCUUGUUGGUGGGGUAAUGGCCUACCAAGGCGUCGACGGGUAGCCGGCCUGAGAGGGGGUACGGCCACAUUGGGACUGAGAUACGGCCCAGACUCCUACGGGAGGCAGCAGUGGGGAAUAUUGCACAAUGGGCGCAAGCCUGAUGCAGCGACGCCGCGUGGGGGAUGACGGCCUUCGGGUUGUAAACUCCUUUCGCUAGGGACGAAGCGUUUUUGUGACGGUACCUGGAGAAGAAGCACCGGCUAACUACGUG
rnacentral:rRNA from 1 species